ACCAUUGCAGAUAAGCAUACCACACCCACACCCACAACCACAGAAAAGACUUGACGCGUGUCUCCCACACGUAUUUUCUCGGAAAUUUGUCUAAAUUUUCUUCCUGAGCGGAAACAUUGAUUGGUUGGGGAAGACGAAGAUAGGAGGAGACGAAGCAAAAUACCAAACAAAUCUUCUGUCCCUAGUAACGAUUAUUGCUCUAGAGAGAGUAUUUUUUAGCCUGAAAUGUCAACAGCUUCUUUGUGUUCAUCCACUCAGAUCAAUGGCUUCGGCGGAGGUCUUAGGCUGCAAAAGACCAAUCUCUAUCAACCCGCUUCCUUCACUUUUACGAGGAGGAAAAUUCACUCUGUAGUAAAGGCAACUUCUCGUGUAGAUAAGUUCUCAAAAAAUGAUAUCAUAGUCUCUCCAUCAAUACUCUCUGCUAAUUUCGCAAAGUUGGGGGAGCAGGUAAAAGCAGUAGAGUUGGCUGGUUGUGAUUGGAUUCAUGUUGAUGUAAUGGAUGGCCGUUUUGUUCCAAACAUUACUAUUGGGCCUCUUGUAGUUGAUGCCUUGAGGCCGGUCACCAAUCUUCCUUUGGAUGUGCAUCUGAUGAUUGUUGAACCUGAACAGCGAGUUCCAGAUUUUAUCAAGGCCGGAGCUGACAUAGUCAGUGUCCACUGUGAGCAGUCAGCCACCAUCCAUUUGCAUCGCACACUUAAUCAAAUAAAAAGCUUAGGAGCUAAGGCUGGAGUCGUGCUAAACCCUGCUACGCCCCUCACUACGAUUGAGUAUGUCCUUGAUGUGGUUGAUCUUGUCUUGAUAAUGUCGGUCAAUCCUGGUUUUGGCGGGCAAGGCUUUAUUGAGAGUCAAGUAAAGAAAAUCUCAGACUUGAGAAGAAUGUGCGUAGAGAAGGGGGUAAACCCGUGGAUUGAAGUGGAUGGUGGAGUUGGUCCCAGCAAUGCUUAUAAGGUGAUUGAUGCUGGAGCAAAUGCUCUUGUAGCCGGAUCAGCUGUCUUUGGAGCUAAAGAUUAUGCAGAAGCUAUAAGAGGAAUCAAAACCAGCAAAAAGCCAGAAGCAGUUGCCGUGUGAUAGCUGAUCAUCGAAUUUGAUUCUAUCCUGUUUUAAACCUUGGCCUUGCUGAGACAUAUUUGAGCUUCUGUUGUAUUUUUGUCUUUAUAUCUGCAGAUUGUAAGAGCCACCAUAUUUCCUCCUUCAUGUUGUAGAUGUACGCAACACUUUAUCAGUUCUCUUUAUUGUUCAAAGAUGGAACAAUAAGAAUAUAUAUAUAUAUAUAUAUAUAUAUAUUUAAAAAAAAAACAGUAAAAAGCAAAUUCAGGGUAAAGAAAGCCUCUUUGCAGGCAUCGUUUCAUGUAUGGAGACUACUUUUACAGGGAUCCAGAUUAUCAAACAUGUAUCAGCAUUCUGUCAAAA